rnacentral:sRNA from 2 species
UUAAUACUUUGUUAGGUGAGGCUCCUAUACAGAAAUAGGCUACUGCCCAGAAACGUCGAAAGACGCCAAUGUGGGUCAACAGACACUACCGGAUUAAGGUUUUGUUUAAUGUAGCUGGUUGUUAAACCUAAGCUGUAUAGUGCUAAAACUCAACGAGGGAAGAAUAUA